rnacentral:rRNA from 1 species
AGAGUUUGAUCCUGGCUCAGAGCGAACGCUGGCGGCAGGCUUAACACAUGCAAGUCGAGCGGGCNCCUUUCGGGGUGUCAGCGGCGGACGGGUGAGUAACGCGUGGGAACGUGCCCUCUGGUUCGGAAUAACUCAGGGAAACUUGAGCUAAUACCGGAUACGCCCUUUUGGGGAAAGGCUUGCUGCCGGAGGAUCGGCCCGCGUCUGAUUAGCUAGUUGGUGAGGUAACGGCUCACCAAGGCGACGAUCAGUAGCUGGUCUGAGAGGAUGAUCAGCCACACUGGGACUGAGACACGGCCCAGACUUCUACGGGAGGCAGCAGUGGGGAAUAUUGGACAAUGGGCGCAAGCCUGAUCCAGCCAUGCCGCGUGAGUGAUGAAGGCCUUAGGGU